rnacentral:rRNA from 1 species
AACGAACGCUGGCGGCAUGCCUAACACAUGCAAGUCGAACGAGAAGUUCGGGUCUAGUGGAGACCGGGUGCGAAAGGCGUGGGAACAUGUCCUUAGGCUGGGAAUAACUUUCCGAUAGGGGUGCUAAAACCGGAUAAUGACUUCGGACGAAAGAUUUAUCGACUUUGGAUGGGCCCAAGUUGGAUUAGCUAGUGGGUAGGGUACAAGCCUACCAAGGCGACGAUCCAUAGCUGGUCUGAGAGGAUGCUCAGCCACACUGGGACUGAGACACGGCCCAUACGCCUGCGAGAGGCAGCAGAUGUGAAUAUUUGACCAUGGGCGUGAGCCUGAUCCACCGAUGCCGCGUUAGUGAUGAAGGCCUUGUAGUUCUAAAGCACCAUUACCCAGGAUUAUAAUGACAGUACCGGGAGAAUAAGCACCGGCUAACUCCGUG